rnacentral:lncRNA from 1 species
CAAACAUAGAAGGGUUCCUUUCUCUUUUUUCUGUGAUGGAAGGGAAUUGAAUCACUAACUAGAAGCCAGAUUCAACUUCCCUUAAAGUGAAUUUGUUCUUGAUGGUGGGAGAAGACCCACAAGGUUUCACAACUAGGACUUAACUUGUGCUACACUGCACACAUGGAGAAGGAAGAGGGAAAGACAGGACAUACUGCCACUCUCUGGAUGUGCUGGACAAAUUGCCUCAACAGCUGUUUUGAUUUUUUCUUUUAUUUGGUUUCAUGAUUUGGGAUCGCUUCCGUGCAGGCUUGCUACAAAGAAAACUAUUUCUGUGCCCUUUUGUGCUGUGAAGUCUGCGUCCACACCAACUUGGCUGAAGGAGUCUGUGCUGCUGUGACUCAAGAGAGUCUGGAACAGCCUCCUCCUCACAUCCUUUUUGCACAUUGUCUUGAGGGGAAUUCUUGCGGACGACACCCAGACACCAUCCCAUGCUGCGCUGCUCUAAGUAGAGUUUCGCAAUUGCCUUACUGUGCAGAAGGGAACAAGGAACUUGGCCACAACCAUUUCCGAAGCUCCUUACGCUGUGCUGUGCUUUAUCAGAGCUUUUGUGUUCCAGGCAUAGUGGAGGUGCCAGCUCACCCUUCUACUGCAAAAUGGGCACUUCAGGCAAGAGAAGCAGUCUCCUGUGUCUUGCCUCAUGCUGCCACCACCAAAAGCUUGAGCUCUCUCCUGCCUGGAAAAGACCCCUCUGCUGACCCACUUCCUGCCUACAUAGCAGCACUAGGAACUGCACAAGGAAUCCUUGUUUUACUUCACUUCAGAUGCUGA